rnacentral:rRNA from 1 species
AAGAGACGCUUCGUCGCAUGCCUAACACAUGCAAGUCGAACGGCAGCACAGCAGUAGCAAUACUGUGGGUGGCGAGUGGCGGACGGGUGAGUAAUGCAUCGGGAUCUACCCAAACGUGGGGGAUAACGUAGGGAAACUUACGCUAAUACCGCAUACGUCCCAUGGGAGAAAGCGGGGGCUCGCAAGACCUCGCGCGGUUGGACGAACCGAUGUGCGAUUAGCUAGUUGGUAGGGUAAUGGCCUACCAAGGCGACGAUCGCUAGCUGGUCUGAGAGGAUGAUCAGCCACACUGGGACUGAGACACGGCCCAGACUCCUACGGGAGGCAGCAGUGGGGAAUAUUGGACAAUGGGCGCAAGCCUGAUCCAGCAAUGCCGCGUGUGUGAAGAAGGCCUUCGGGUUGUAAAGCACUUUUAUCAGGAGCGAAAUGCCAUGGGCUAAUACCCCGUGGAGCUGACGGUACCUGAGGAAUAAGCACCGGCUAACUUCGUGCCAGCAGCCGCGGUAAUACGAAGGGUGCAAGCGUUAAUCGGAAUUACUGGGCGUAAAGGGUGCGUAGGCGGUUCGUUAAGUCUGUCGUGAAAU